rnacentral:lncRNA from 1 species
GUGGUGAACGUUACUGGGAUUGCAGUUGGCACUGGCUUAGCCUCAGCUUAUGACACCCUCAUGUCUCAGUCCUUUGGAGUCAAGAACCUCAAGCGCGUGGGGAUCAUACUUCAGAGAGGGGUCCUCAUCCUUAUGCUGUGCUGCUUUCCCUGCUGGGCCGACUUGGUCAACACCGAGCGCAUCCUCCUGCUCUUAAAACAAGACCCGAAGUCUCCAGGAUAGCCCAAAUUUAUGUGCUGAUUUUCAUUCCUGCCCUUCCUGCAGCAUUCUUGUUCCAGCUGCAGACAAGAUAUUUACAAAGUCAGGGCAUCAGCAUGCCUCAAGUUAUUACCAGGAUUGCAGCUAAUGUCAUCAACGUGGGCAUGAAUGCCCUCUUGCUGUAUGCCCUGGACUUCAGAGUGGUUGGACGAGGGAGUGCUUCCAGGAGUGGGGCUCCUACAUCCACCUGGUUAUUCCCAGUAUGUUCAUGGUGUGCACUGAGCAGUGGACCUUUGAGAUCGGAAACUUCCUUGCAGGUUUGUCAGCAGACUGAUUGAUGUGAUGGAGCUCGGCACUCAGGGCAUCAUCUGUGAGCUGGCGUCAGUGGCCUACAUGGUAA